rnacentral:rRNA from 1 species
UACGUAGGGUGCGAGCGUUGUCCGGAAUUACUGGGCGUAAAGAGCUCGUAGGUGGUUUGUCGCGUUGUUCGUGAAAUCUCACGGCUUAACUGUGAGCGUGCGGGCGAUACGGGCAGACUAGAGUACUGCAGGGGAGACUGGAAUUCCUGGUGUAGCGGUGGAAUGCGCAGAUAUCAGGAGGAACACCGGUGGCGAAGGCGGGUCGCUGGGCAGUAACUGACGCUGAGGAGCGAAAGCGUGGGGAGCGAACAGG